rnacentral:misc_RNA from 1 species
UUGUAGUGGCUCUCACUACUUUUACCUCUCUCUCUCUCUACUUCUCUGGCCCUUUCUCCUCUACUCAUUUCUACCUCUCCCAUCAUCUCCCUAUCUAUCUAUAUAUCUCAAACCCUUCUCACGAUUCCUUCUUUACUUCUCUCUCUCUCAUCUCCCAAAUAUGACUCCUAUUUAUCAUUCUUCUUUUUCUCCUUUUCUUAUAGACCUCAAUGAAGACCAACAACAACAACACAAUCAACUCUUCUUUUCAAAACCUACAGAAGAAGCUGCUUCUUCUUUAUCCUACCCAAUUCUCAUCAACCCAUCUCAAGUUGAUGCAGGUUACUACCAUAGAGAAUUGCAGCCAUUAAUACAGCAUCAAGAAGAGGCUAAUAUUUCUGCUUCUCGUGGUGGGUCAUGGGAUUAUCCAACACUUAAGAACGAGAAUGGCCGCAAGGAAGAAAAUAUAAAUGAAGACAAAAGAGAGAACAAUUCAGUUAAGUGGAUGUCUUCAAAGAUGAGGUUGAUGAGGAAGAUGAUGAGCUCGGAUCAAACAGUUGCCGAUACACGGGAGACUUGUAUGCACAAGUUUGAAGAUGACAAGGGCCGAUCAUUACCUUUACAAGAUGAUAAUAGCAGCCAAAAUUUCUCUAGCAGCAGUAGCAACUCAAUUAGGGUUUGUGCUGACUGUAACACAACUAAGACCCCUCUUUGGAGGAGUGGACCAAGAGGUCCAAAGGUAUAAAACUUUCUCUCUUUCACGACAUAUAUACCCUUAUAUCCUAUUAUAUGAAUUCCCAAGUUCCUUACAAUUACGUUCUGAUGCAGUCACUUUGCAACGCCUGUGGAAUUCGGCAAAGAAAGGCGAGGAGAGCCAUGGCCGCAGCUCAAGCAGCAGGUGCGAAUGGAACAAUUUUUAGUACUGAGACGGCGGGGGCCAUGAAGACCAAGGUGCAAAAUAAAGAGAGAAAAACGAGUAACAGUCAUCUUCCGUUCAAGAAAAGGUGCAAAUUUACAGCGCAAGCUCAAGGCAGAAAGAAGCUUUGUUUUGAGGAGUUAUCAAUAAUCUUGAGCAAGAAUUCAGCUUUUCAUCAACAAGUUUUCCCCCAAGACGAGAAGGAAGCGGCAAUCCUACUUAUGGCUCUAUCUUAUGGCCUUGUUCAUGGUUGAUGAGUUUCCAUAAAACCUUUGUUUAAUUUCCUUCAAUUUUAGAUUAAUUUCUUUGUUUACCUAUAGUAUUAGAGCUAAUCAAGUACCUAGAGUGCAUAUUUCGUGUGAGAGAUUUUUUCUCUAUUAGGGGAAUUGAGGAAGUAUGGAGAUUUUGAGUCUGUUAGGUGAAUGAUAUGUUUUUUAUUCCUGAAUUUCGUAUGUGUGAGAUUGUUUUAUAUAAGAGAGAGAAAUAAAAUCAGGUGUGAGUGUGAAUAACAAAUUUAAAUUUAAUAAAAAGAAUAAUUAAUG